rnacentral:rRNA from 1 species
GAUGAACGCUGGCGGCGUGCUUAACACAUGCAAGUCGAACGAGAAGUGAAGACGGAUCCCUUCGGGCGGAAGGCUUUAUUUCGAGUGGCGGACGGGUGAGUAACGCGUGGGUAACCUGCCUCAUACAGGGGGAUAACAGUUGGAAACGACUGUUAAUACCGCAUAAGACCACAGCACCGCAUGGUGCGGGGGUAAAAACUCCGGUGGUAUGAGAUGGACCCGCGUUCGAUUAGCCAGUUGGCGGGGUAACGGCCCACCAAAGCGACGAUCGAUAGCCGAUCUGAGAGGAUGACCGGCCACAUUGGGACUGAGACACGGCCCAAACUCCUACGGGAGGCAGCAGUGGGGAAUAUUGCACAAUGGGGGAAACCCUGAUGCAGCGACGCCGCGUGAGUGAAGAAGUAUUUCGGUAUGUAAAGCUCUAUCAGCAGGGAAGAAAAUGACGGUACCUGAGUAAGAAGCCCCGGCUAACUACGUG